GACGAACGCUGGCGGCGUGCUUAACACAUGCAAGUCGAACGGAAAGGCCUGCUUUCCCUUGUGGAUUGCGGGUACUCGAGUGGCGAACGGGUGAGUAACACGUGAGUGAUCUGCCCCCAACUUGGGUAUAAGCCUGGGAAACUGGGUCUAAUUCCCGAUAGGACUGCAGGGUGGUGCCUGUGGUGGAAAACGAUUUUCUAGUGGUUGGGGAUGAGCUCGCGGCCUAUCAGCUUGUUGGUGGGGUAAUGGCCUACCAAGGCGGCGACGGGUAGCCGGCCUGAGAGGGUGGACGGCCACAGUGGGACUGAGAUACGGCCCAGACUCCUACGGGAGGCAGCAGUGGGGAAGAUUGCACAAUGGGCGGAAGCCUGAUGCAGCGACGCCGCGUGGGGGAUGACGGCCUUCGGGUUGUAAACUCCUUUCGACCGCGAGGAAGCCACCUGGUUGGAAGGGUGGUGACGGUAGUGGUAGAAGAAGCACCGGCUAACUACGUG
rnacentral:rRNA from 1 species